AGUGUAGGCGGGAUCGUAAGUUAGGAGUUUAAUACAUGGGCUUAACCCAUGAGCUGCUUUUAAUACUGCGGUUCUUGAGUAUGGGAGGGGGCGAUGGAAUUCCAGGUGUAGCGGUGGAAUGCGUAGAUAUCUGGAAGAACACCAGUAGCGAAGGCGGUCGCCUGGCCCAAUACUGACGCUGAUGCUCGAAAGCUAGGGGAGCAAACAGGAUUAGAUACCCUGGUAGUCCUAGCCGUAAACGAUGGACACUAGUUGCUGGAGGAGUCAAUCCUUUCGGUGACGAAGCUAACGCAUUAAGUGUCCCGCCUGGGGAGUACGUUCGCAAGGAUGAA
rnacentral:rRNA from 1 species